GUUGAAGGGUUUGGGCGUUGGCAGGCGUUGGCGCUUGAAUAUUGCGUCGUUUGAUCCGCUAAAGUUACUCCAUUGAGGAUAAAUGGGGGAAAAUAAAUGUUUUGCUCUUGGGUGCAUAUCCAGUGAGCACAGCAGAAUAAAAUUUUUCCAUUUUCCCAGGGAUUCUGCAAGUUCUGGGGGAUUAUCUCCGAUGACCAUGGAAUCGACUCAACUGGCGCCUACCAGGGUAACUCCGACCUCCAAAGUGAGAGAUUACAUGUCUACUACGACGAAUCAUCUGGUGGACAGUACACACCCCGCGCCAUCUUGUUGGAUCUUGACCCCGACUCGGUGAACAAUGUCUGAUCAGGGCCUCUCGGUCAUAUGUUCAGACUGCACAGCUUCCUUUCCGGUCAGGGUGGUGCUGGCAGCAACUGGGCUGUGGGGCACUACACUGCCGGUGCUGAGUUCGUCGCCCCUGUGAUGGACGCUUUAAGAAGAGAAGCAGAGAUUUGUGACCCUCUUCAGGGAUUUCAGCUGACCCACUCCUUGGGAGGGGAACUGGUUCUGGAUUUGGCACACUGCUUAUUUCCAGGAUCAGAGAAGUAUACCCAGAUAGGAUAAUUGCAACGUAUUCUGUUGCACCUUCCAACACCACAAUACGCAAACACACUCUGCCAGACCUUAUUGAAAUAUCAUUGGAAUAUUACAACGCAUUACUGGCCGUCAGUCGACUCUUUAAAGAUGAUGUCGUGACUCAUUUAUUGGACAGUGAUGCUCUCCACCGCAUUUCCUGUGGAGCACAGGAACACAUGAAUCACCAAAUUUCCCUAGUAAUGUGUAGACUGACCACUUGCUUCCGGUUCUGGGAUAUGCUGAUGGGCACUCUGAGUCAAUUUGCUAAUAGCAUGGUCCCACUUGAACAGUUCCACUUCCUUGUGCCAAGCUCUGCUCCUCUCACCGCCCGUGAUAGCUGACAGUACCCAGCCCUCACAAUACCAGAACUGGUAAAACAAAUAUUUAAUGCCAGGAACAUGAUGGCUGCCUGUGAUCCAGAACAUUACACCUACAUUUCAUCUGCGGCUAUAUUCCGUGGGCCCAUGUCCGCGACAGAGACUGAAGAAGAAGUGAAAAACUUCCCAUGCCGGAAACUGCCAUAUGUAAUGUUUCAAUACGAGGACAUGACAUGUCAGCGACCUUAAGUCUCAACUCCACUGCAGUAAUGCAAGUGAUAGAACGCAUUGCAUUUGAACUACCAACAUUCGUGGGGAAUGGGUAUGCCUUGGAUUUAUUCUCAGCAGACGGAAUAACUGAUCAGCUGCUCAUAGAUGCACAGGAAACCGUGAGGGGCAUGGUGGAUUAAUACAAAACCAUGAACUGGAUCCAAUUCUCUUAAGGAUAAGAAUUAGAAUAUAAAUGCAAAAACAUAUUAACAGUUGUUCAUGUGUUUUGCAUUUAUAUUCUAAAUCCUAGAGGACCACAUGCAUAUCCCUGGCCAAAGCUUCUUGUGUUAAAGCUUCAGUUGUACUGUUCAUGUGUUUUUGCAUUUGUGGGAACAUCCCACAUAUAUUUAUACAGCACCCACUUUCCAUCUCACUUUUAACCAUCACGCGCGCUAACCAAUCACGUGGCUUCCCACGCUCGCAUUUAUACAGCACUUGCUGUUUAGCCUCAUGAAGAUCAUUACACACGCUAGCCAAUCAGCGCACUGCAAAUUUCGCUCCCCUGCCAAGCAUUGUAUAAAAGGUGGAGUACAAAGCUCGCAAGUCAGGCCGCAUCCCGCUAAUUAUCGGGGUUGCAAAUGUGCCAAGGAGGAGCAACAGAAAAGGAAGGCUCAGAGAAUGUCCAAAACUACCACAGGGACGGUGUUCUCUUCAACCAUCGUCACUCCAGGUGUCUCCUUCGCGGCGGCACUCCGAGGCAGUACAGUAGAGCAGCUGCAGCAGCACCCUCAGGAAAGCCAUGUUCGAUGGCUCCACCCACAGCAAGGAAGCAGAUUGUACCGGCCCCUGCACUGCAGAAGGAAACAGGUGAGAUGCUCUGGCCAGCUGUGAUGUUAAACUCUGCCUGCCGAAGUCGUAUAGAGUGUUGUGAACCGAAGCGCUGGGCGUGCAGGUAAGCAAGAUCCCCUUGAGGACUUGGAUGUAAGAAAUCAGGUAGCUGACAUGAAUUUGUGAGGUGGAAUCAAACACUUUACUUGAGCAAGACAUGAAAAUAGUUACAGCACAGGAAUCAAACCCCUGACUCCCGAGAGCGGUACGCUCUCCGACGUAAGCACUGUAUAUUGAUUAUCCUUAUAAUGAACUCUUACAAUGCCAGCCCUUAUAUAUUAAUGCCUUCGGGCGUGGCAAAAUCAUGUGACUUUAUAGCGUCUAUUUCCUUAUAAGGAGAGCUUGGCCCCUGGAUACUCGAGCCAAUUCUUGGAACCAUAACGUCACUCUUAGUGCCAUGUGCACAGCUUAUGUCUUCAUUUUCAAGUUACAACAUACAUGUUUACAUUAGGGCUAUUCUACCGUUUUAUGCUAUGUAUCAAGAGCAUCUCACAAUGUCUUAUGCCCAAUUAACAUAAUAAAACACUAUUAAACAUCAAAAAACUCAAUACAUAGUUCUAUUAUUCAUCAGAUUAGCGUAACCACAUUACACCUUGAGGUCCACAAAUGAAAAAUAUCGAUUUCCGUUUAGUCUGUCCAGGUUCUCUUGCACUAGCGGCAUGCAGAACACCGGUAUCUUCGUCACUGCAUUCAGGCCUCUGAAGUCUGCGCAGAAUUGAUACUUAACCGUUCCGUCAGUACUUUCCUUUCUGAUCAAGAUAACUGGUGCGGCACAUUCCGUGGCAGCUUUCGUCAACACGCAUCUUUGCACCAUAUCGUCAGUCUGGUUUCUCAGCUCUUCUCUCAGAGCAUACGCGAUACGAUAUGGAUUCCGUUUUACAGGUUUCGCCUCACCUGUAUCAAUUUCAUGGAGUCCGAAGUCCGUGCGCGGAAUUAUCCCAUUUUCGUCUUUUUAAAGAGAUCUUGAUAGUCGAGCAGAGCUGGUUUUAUAACUCGUUUUUCCUCUGCUGUUAAGUGGCUUAUUUUCUCCUCUAGUAACCUAGGUACACUGGCAUUCUGUUCCCUCACUUUGGGGUCCAGUUGUCGGGGGUACCUAUCCGUUUUCAAUAUAUUUGGUCGGAUGGUCGCGUCGUCUUUGUGACGUCAUCUACGAGGUCUGCUUCCGUAAUGUCACAGACGUUAGCGAUAUUUGUCUCCGGUUGCAACGUAACACUUUCUCUGCUGGUGUUAAUCAGCUAGGCAGUGCAGUAGGUUGCUAUGUUUGCACUUUGCUCGUCGCUGACGUUGCGUUCACGUGUCUUGUGAAUGCGAUGUUCUAUCAACGCUAUACUCGUAAAAAACGCCGGAAACUAUCCGAGCAGUAUAAAUUCCUCGAAGCGGUAUCUCCACCGUUUCGGAAUGUAUCCAUUUCUUGAGGGAUGCUUUCGGCACAGCUUUCUGUUCUGUUAUCUUUCCUCUUGUGACCAAAAGUGUUCUGGGUUCUAGUAAAUCGUUUCUGGCAACACAGCUUGCCAUUGGUGGAGUGUUUCCACCUACCCGUCUUCCGCUGACGAUUCUGUCUCGCUGGGUUCGGCUGAGGCCUCCUUUACCUCACAUUUCACUAGUCUUCUUGACUCUUUGGUUAUUCGUGUAGCCGUCCUUGCUUCCUCUUUUACGUUUUCCUGAGGUUGCGGCUCCGUCCUUCUCACCGUUGACUUCUGAAUAUUCGCCUUUCUCCUUCCUGUCGGAGGGUACAUCAGCUUGACUGUCUGGCCGUCCAGGUUUAUCUCCUGCGGCUAUGUCAAUACGGCCGCCUAGCCCUCUCAAUAAAUCUAGCCCAAAUAUUCCGUGUUUCUGGAUCGGAAAGGGCGCUACCACAAAAUCGUGGGUGUACUGCUUGUCCCCAAUGACGAAUUCUAUCCGUCUGGUUCCUUCAAUUUCCAAGUCCUGUCCGGUUAUGGCCCUAACCGCUUCCCUAAUUUCCAUCGUGGGUUCAUCCCCCACAAAUGGUUGAACUAGACACACGUCUGCUUCGGUGUCAGUAAUAAAAUUGUGAUCUGUCCCUAGGACCUUUACCUCAAUACACAAUUCUCUGUUCUCUCCUGCUGUGGCUAGCGGUGUACAGGCGGCUGUAUUCCGACGAUUGAUGGGGCGUUCUACCGUCGAAAUUAUUUAGGGAGCGAUCACCUGUCUCUUUUGUUGGCUUCUUUCUUGCCUCACACUUUCAGGCUGUAUGACCCUGUUGUCCACAUGAGAAGCAUGUAAUCCUGGGGUCGAACCUGACCUUUGCUCCUUUCCCGUGGUUCCUGUGGUCGUCGUGUCGGUGACCCUCUUGGCUAACCGUUCUGACGCCAUGGUUGCUUGUAUUGGUUUGAUUUUGUGGAGUCCUUUCUUUCCGUUUUCACGACUAGUGUCUCGUGGUCCCUGGGACGCUGCUCCAUUAGCUUUGCGUUGUGCACCAUUGUGGUUAUGUUCAACGCUUGUUCCACCGUCUGGGGUUUGCAGAUUCUUAACUCCCUCCCUGGAUCACAAUUUGUAUUAAUCUACCAUGCCCCUCACGUUUGCCUGUGCAUCGUUGAACAGUUCAUCAGUUAUUCCAUCUGCUGAAAAUAAUUUCAAGGCACACUCAUUCCCCCUAUAUGUUGGUCAUUCAAAUGCCAUGCGUUUUAUCACUUUUCUUACAGAAGUGGAAUUGAGGCUUAAGGUCGCUGAUAGGUCAUGACCUCUUACUGAAACAUUACAUGUGGCAUUUGCCGGCAUGGGCAUAAUCUUUCUUUGCCACAAGUUUUCCAGUUCUUCUUCAUCCUCUGUCGCGGAUAUGGGCCCACAGAAUAUAGCCGCAGAUGAAAUAUAGGUGUACUGUUCCGGAUCACAGGCAGCCAUCGUGUUUCUGGCGUUAAAUAUUUGUGUUACCAGUUCAGGUAAUGUGAGGGCUGGGCACUGCUGGCAACCACGGGCAGUGAGAGGAGCAAAGCUUGGCACAAGGAAUCUGAACUGUUCAAUUGGGACCAUGCUAUUAGCAAAUUGACAGUGCCCAUCCGCAUAUCCCGGAACCGGAAGCAAGUGGUCAAACCCGACAUUACCAUGGAAAUUUGCCGAUUCAUGUCAUCAGUCGUGGGACUCGUGUCCCUGUGCUCUACAGAUGUAGUGCAGAGCAUCAUUGUGUAAUAGAUGUUAUGACCUUAUCGCUGAACAUUCCAUUUACAGCGAGUAAGGCGUUGUAAUGUUCUAACGAACCUUCCUUGACGUCUGGUUGAGUGCGCCUGCU